AUCAGUAAACAGAUGAAUGUUAAACAAAAUGGUGAAUAUUAUUCAGCCUUAAAUAGUGGUGUGAGUGUGUGUGUGUGUGUACACACACACACACACACACACACACACACACACACACACACACACAAACAAAAUAAAUUACUAUUAUAAAGAGAGGUAAUUAUCGAUACACAAAA